UAACAAGAGAGUUUGAUCCUGGCUCAGGAUAAACGCUGGCGGCGCACAUAAGACAUGCAAGUCGAACGGACUUAACCAUUAGUUUACUAUUGGAGCGGU
rnacentral:ncRNA from 1 species